CCAUCUGGGAAGCGGGGGUGAUGUGGAGAUGUGGCUGCCGGCCGGCACUGGACCAGUGUGUGCGCCCCAGGGCAGCCACCUCUGUCAGGGCUGAGGCCACUGUUUACCAGCCGCAUGAGCCUACACUGUCUACUGCAUUGUGAAGACUAAAUGCAAUACAACUACCCUGUGGAAGUGCUUGGGGCUUACUGGAUAUUCAUGGCAGUGGUUUAUUAUCAUAGAAAACCCGUGAAAGCCAAAGCACUCUUCAUCUGGCUCUCUGUAGUUUUCCCACCCCAAGACAGCUGGCAUUGGCAUUUUUGAACCCAUGGAAAUCCAUCCCCUGCCCCUGCCUCGCCUGCACCCAGCCCUGGUCUGUGCCACUGGCCCCCAGCCUCCCAGAGGGGACAGCUGAUUCCCGAACGAGGAAGAGGGAAUCAGAUGGAAUCAGCCUGACUCACCUGCCUGAGGAACCGGUUGUUGUCUAGAUCAACCACAAGCACCUACAGGACAAGAGGGAAAGGCUACCAAGAAUCUGGAUGGCGCUUCCACUAAGAUGCUACCAGGAAGGUAGUAACAAGUUUCUCAAACACCCUGGGACCUUCAAGGGUGGUUCAGUGUCCUUCAGCGCAGCACACCGUGCCCAGUGUCUCUCCUCCUGGCGCAUUGGCCCAAGGACAGUAACUGGACGAGGGAAGGUAAACCUUGGUCUGGUGGCAGGUGAAGCCCAGUGCGAGGGGGUGUCACCACGCAGUUAUGUGGCACAGAGCUUACAAAAAACACAGGGCUGGAUCUCAGGAAAACGGGUCCUGCUACCACCUGUGCGACCCCAGGUGAAGCCCUUAAUUUCCCUUGGCCUCAGAUUCCUCAUCUAUAAAAUAAGUAAAUGGACAUGAUACCCUCCAGUGUCCUUCCAGCUUUACAGUCUGUGAACCAUGAAUACGAGAGCAAGUAAAAGUCAGGAGCUAGAAAUCGGAGCUUCGCGUUGAGGCCACAAAGAGAACCACGCUGGUCAUUAGGAGGUAGUUCUAAGGCUCCUUAGUGGAGACAGGACAGAAAAACAA